AUUGAACGCUGGCGGCAUGCUCUACACAUGCAAGUCGAACGGUAACAGGCCGCAAGGUGCUGACGAGUGGCGAACGGGUGAGUAAUGCAUCGGAACGUGCCCAGUCGUGGGGGAUAACUACUCGAAAGAGUAGCUAAUACCGCAUACGAUCUAUGGAUGACAGCGGGGGACCGUAAGGCCUCGCGCGAUUGGAGCGGCCGAUGUCAGAUUAGGUAGUUGGUGGGGUAAAGGCUCACCAAGCCAACGAUCUGUAGCUGGUCUGAGAGGACAACCAGCCACACUGGGACUGAGACACGGCCCAGACUCCUACGGGAGGCAGCAGUGGGGAAUUUUGGACAAUGGGCGCAAGCCUGAUCCAGCAAUGCCGCGUGCAGGAAGAAGGCCUUCGGGUUGUAAACUGCUUUUGUACGGAACGAAACGGCUCUGGUUAAUACCCGGGGCUAAUGACGGUACCGUAAGAAUAAGCACCGGCUAACUACGUG
rnacentral:rRNA from 1 species